rnacentral:rRNA from 1 species
UGGGGAAUUUUGGACAAUGGGCGAAAGCCUGAUCCAGCAAUGCCGCGUGUGUGAAGAAGGCCUUCGGGUUGUAAAGCACUUUUGUCCGGAAAGAAAUCCUUGGCUCUAAUACAGUCGGGGGAUGACGGUACCGGAAGAAUAAGCACCGGCUAACUACGUGCCAGCAGCCGCGGUAAUACGUAGGGUGCAAGCGUUAAUCGGAAUUACUGGGCGUAAAGCGUGCGCAGGCGGUUUGCUAAAGACCGAUGUGAAAAUCCCCGGGCUCAACCUGGGAACUGCAUUGGUGACUGGCAGGCUAGAGUAUGGCAGAGGGGGGUAGAAUUCCACGUGUAGCAGUGAAAAUGCGUAGAGAUGUGGAGGAAUACCGAUGGCGAAGGCAGCCCCCUGGCCAAGUACUGACGCUCAUGCACGAAAAGCGUGGGGGAGCAAAACAGGAUUAGAUACCCUGGUAGUCCACGCCCUAAAACGAUGU